rnacentral:rRNA from 1 species
CAUGAAGUCGGAAUUGCUAGUAAUCGCGGAUCAGAAUGCCGCGGUGAAUACGUUCCCGGGCCUUGUACACACCGCCCGUCACACCAUGAGAGCCGGUAACACCCGAAGUCAGGAGCCUAACCGCAAGGAGGGCGCUGCCGAAGGUGGGAUUGGUAAUUGGGGUGAAGUCGUAACAAGGUAAC